UUGGUACGCGUAUCAAAUGUAAAUUAAUUGUGAAAUGAAUUGUGAAGAGUUAUAUUAGAUAUAGAAAACGACGCUCUAGAUGCCAUAUUACACUUCAUAGAAAAUGACGCAUAGACGCCAUAUUAAAUACUAUAACCUAUUGCCCAUAAAAUGCGUUAUGGCGGAAGUUGAUGGCCCUUACUUUCGCCCUUAUAAAAAAAUGGAGUUUUGAGUUUAUCUCGAGAGAAUGGAGAAAUCCUUCGGGCCAUUGAGUGGAUCUGACGUCUCUUGACCCACAUAAAUUUUUUGUAUUGCAUCAUCAUGUCUUAUAUCUAUUAUAUCUAUUAACUUAUAUCGUUCUUCUGUUUUUUUCUUAAGGGAUUUUAAGUUUAUCUCGGGGUGAAGAAUGGAGAAGUCCUUCUCGGGCCAUUGAGUGGAUCUGAUCUUCUGACUGUCUCUUGACCCAGGUUAUGCACAUUGUUGAUCAAAUAUUCUUUGAACGUCCAUGAUCAGUAAGCAUUUUCAGCGAGCGGACAUUUUUGUGAAUGAUUGUCCGUGUUCAAGUCGAACGACAACCAGCCUGCUUUGUCGGCUUAAACAUAGUUAUUUUCGUACUCGGUGAACACAUCGUUUUACAAACAAUUGCAAAUUUGGCGGAACUAUAGCAUUUCUGUACACCAAAAACCAAAACCUUUCUGAAAACCAAAAAUAUAAAAUUGUUGGCCAUUGUUGAUGUAAAUAUUAAGAAAACCGUGAAACAAUUUCCAUUUUCGUAAAUGAUACAUAAACGGUAUGUCCGAUUAGAUGAUAUAUGAUUUCUAAAUAAAAGUUAUGUUUUUGUGUAUGCACAUAAAUAUUUAUAUAUAAGAAACCAUUCAGAAAAUUGCUUACUGAUUUUAUGCCAUGGACCUAGUAAGCCUUCCAACUGUUGGUUGAACGCAAUCUAUAGCAUAGAUACCGUAACAAAAAUGCGAUAUUAUAGACGUUAUAACAUUUUGACGAAAACAUCUUUAUUAUGGCAAAAGAUGAUAAUGAAGAUUACAGCGAAACCCGUAUGGAAAGGAAUCCAUAUAUAUAAUAGUAAUUGAAUAGCUAUUCAUGCAUGUAAUCGCUAAUAGUUACUACUCAAGUUACUACAGAAAUUGAAUAGUAACUAUAUAAAUCUGAAUAGUUCUCAAUAGUUUCUUUCCAUACGGGUUUCGCUAUGUAUGAAAAAACGCUAAGAAAAUAUAUAGGUGAGAGAAUAUAUUUCAAUAUAAAUAAAAAUUAGAAAUUGAAAAUUAAAAUAAACUAAGUACUAAAUAAAUUAAGGUUAGAAUAGAUUAAGACUUUAUAGUAUCUAAUACAUUAUAAUAUAAUCUAAAAUAAUGAAAAGUUAAACUAAGUUUAGAUUAAAUUGAUACUUUAUAAUGUAUUGUAAUAUAUAUGUACAUAUGAUAUAUGAAACAUGUUAACAUAUGUAUUAUAUGUUCUUUAUAAUCUAUGACUCUAAGUUAGUCUAUCGAAAUAAAAUUUAUUCACUUUAUACUUAAUAUAAUAAAACUUAAGUAGACUUUAAUUAUAGAUAAACUCGUGUAAUCUUUAACUAAUUGUAAUAUACAUUUUAUUUACAGUCAUCAGAAUGAUUAUAUUACUAAUGGGAAGUGCUCUAUACAAUUAAAUUAAUAAACAUAAAAA
rnacentral:lncRNA from 1 species